rnacentral:rRNA from 1 species
ACACAUGCAAGUCGAACGGAAGCAAAGAUUUCGGUUUUUGCUUUAGUGGCGAACGGGUGAGUAACGCGUGAGGAACCUGCCUUUCAGUGGGGGACAACAGUUGGAAACGACUGCUAAUACCGCAUAAUGCUUUUGAGUGGCAUCACUUAAAAGCCAAAGAUUUAUUGCUGAAAGAUGGCCUCGCGUCUGAUUAGCUAGUUGGCGGGGUAACGGCCCACCAAGGCGACGAUCAGUAGCCGGUCUGAGAGGAUGAACGGCCACAUUGGGACUGAGAUACGGCCCAGACUCCUACGGGAGGCAGCAGUGGGGAAUAUUGGGCAAUGGGGGAAACCCUGACCCAGCAACGCCGCGUGAAGGAAGAAGGCCUUCGGGUUGUAAACUUCUUUUACCAGGGGCGAAAGAAAUGACGGUACCUGGAGAAAAAGCAACGGCUAACUACGUGCCAGCAGCCGCGGUAAUACGUAGGUUGCGAGCGUUGUCCGGAUUUACUGGGUGUAAAGGGCGUGUAGGCGGAGAUGCAAGUUGGGAGUGAAAUCCAUGGGCCCAACCCAUGAACUGCUUCCAAAACUGUAUCCCUUGAGUAUCGGAGAGGCAAGCGGAAUUCCUAGUGUAGCGGUGAAAUGCGUAGAUAUUAGGAGGAACACCAGUGGCGAAGGCGGCUUGCUGGACGACAACUGACGCUGAGGCGCGAAAGCGUGGGGAGCAAACAGGAUUAGAUACCCUGGUAGUCCACGCUGUAAACGAUGAAUACUAGGUGUGGGAGGACUGACCCCUUCCGUGCCGCAGUUAACACAAUAAGUAUUCCACCUGGGGAGUACGACCGCAAGGUUGAAACUC